rnacentral:rRNA from 1 species
CAGCAGCCGCGGGAACACAGAGGGUGCGAGCGUUAAUCGGAUUUACUGGGCGUAAAGCGUGCGUAGGCGGCUAAUUGAGUCGGAUGUGAAAUCCCCGAGCUUAACUUGGGAAUUGCAUUCGAUACUGGUUAGCUAGAGUGUGGGAGAGGAUGGUAGAAUUCCAGGUGUAGCGGUGAAAUGCGUAGAGAUCUGGAGGAAUACCGAUGGCGAAGGCAGCCAUCUGGCCUAACACUGACGCUGAGGUACGAAAGCAUGGGGAGCAAACAGGAUUAGAUACCCGCGUAGUCCCUGUCUCUUAUAA